UACGUAGGCAGCGAGCGUUGUUCGGAGUUACUGGGCGUAAAGGGUGUGUAGGCGGUUCCGUAAGUCGUGAAGUCAAAAUCUCUGGGCUCAACCCAGAAUCGCUUCCGAUACUGCGGUGACUGGAGUCCGGUAGGGGAGUGUGGAAUUCCUGGUGUAGCGGUGAAAUGCGCAGAUAUCAGGAGGAACACCAACAGCGAAAGGCAGCACUCUGGGCCGGUACUGACGCUGAGGAGCGAAAGCAUGGGGAGCGAACAGG
rnacentral:rRNA from 1 species